UACACUAUUUCGGCUCUUGCUUUUGCGACUCGUCUAAACAUUUUGCCUCUUUAAACUAUUUUCAUAUCGGUUGUCAGGCAUAAGAUCCUCGCUAUAAAAACCCCAAACAAUGAAGCUUGUCAGGUUCCUCAUGAAACUGCAAGGGGAGACAGUAGUCAUAGAACUCAAAAAUGGGACCAUUGUUAGAGGAACGAUUACGGGAGUAGACGUCUCUAUGAACACGCAUUUGAAGACAGUGAAGAUGACUGUAAAAAACAGAAAUUCGGUUAAUCUGGAAACGUUGAGUAUAAGAGGGAACAAUAUCCGUUCUUACAUCCUUCCGGACACGUUAAAUUUAAACACGUUGUUAAUAGAUGACACACCUAGACCGAAAAAGGGAGAUGGAAAGUCUGCUACCUCCAAGGUUGGAGGCAGAGUUAAUGCCCCCAGGCGCCACGGAGGUGCGCCAUCUCGUACAACUCGACGUUGAGGAGAGGAGACAACAUCGACGGGACAGGGAUGCUACGCAGUAAAUUCUAGGCAAAGGAGCCUCAGAACGAGCUAUAUAAAAGAUGUGUGUGUAUUAUCAAGGAUAAAUCACUUCGGUUUUUGAAUAAAUGUCUGACUGGAGUAGGGGCAGAGAGGCGUGGAUCACAAACGCAGCAAAGGGAGUAAAACUCUGUCAUUCUGCAGAGUUUGCAAAACGCGUAUAUUGUUCAGCUAAGACACAGAGAGUAUAUGUAUGUAUGCGAACAAGACAGUGUCGAUAUCGUGCACAUCGCUUCAACAGAACGAAAUCAUUCUGAGUGAAAUUACAGUUGCUAUAGAGUUCAUGAUGGCGUGGGUCAAUUGGUGAAGAAAUAUGAAGAUCGAUGAUUUUUGAAAGAGACAAGGUAAGACAUCUUUGCUGCAAAAUGUUUUUUUUUGAAACGGAAGCGUACAGACAAUA